CAGUCGAACGACUCUGGUAUUGAUUGGUGCUUGCAUCAUGAUUUACAUUUGAGUGAGUGGCGAACUGGUGAGUAACACGUGGGAAACCUGCCCAGAAGCGGGGGAUAACACCUGGAAACAGAUGCUAAUACCGCAUAACAACUUGGACCGCAUGGUCCGAGUUUGAAAGAUGGCUUCGGCUAUCACUUUUGGAUGGUCCCGCGGCGUAUUAGCUAGAUGGUGGGGUAACGGCUCACCAUGGCAAUGAUACGUAGCCGACCUGAGAGGGUAAUCGGCCACAUUGGGACUGAGACACGGCCCAAACUCCUACGGGAGGCAGCAGUAGGGAAUCUUCCACAAUGGACGAAAGUCUGAUGGAGCAACGCCGCGUGAGUGAAGAAGGGUUUCGGCUCGUAAAACUCUGUUGUUAAAGAAGAACAUAUCUGAGAGUAACUGUUCAGGUAUUGACGGUAUUUAACCAGAAAGCCACGGCUAACUACGUGCCAGCAGCCGCGGUAAUACGUAGGUGGCAAGCGUUGUCCGGAUUUAUUGGGCGUAAAGCGAGCGCAGGCGGUUUUUUAAGUCUGAUGUGAAAGCCUUCGGCUCAACCGAAGAAGUGCAUCGGAAACUGGGAAACUUGAGUGCAGAAGAGGACAGUGGAACUCCAUGUGUAGCGGUGAAAUGCGUAGAUAUAUGGAAGAACACCAGUGGCGAAGGCGGCUGUCUGGUCUGUAACUGACGCUGAGGCUCGAAAGUAUGGGUAGCAAACAGGAUUAGAUACCCUGGUAGUCCAUACCGUAAACGAUGAAUGCUAAGUGUUGGAGGGUUUCCGCCCUUCAGUGCUGCAGCUAACGCAUUAAGCAUUCCGCCUGGGGAGUACGGCCGCAAGGCUGAAACUCAAAGGAAUUGACGGGGGCCCGCACAAGCGGUGGAGCAUGUGGUUUAAUUCGAAGCUACGCGAAGAACCUUACCAGGUCUUGACAUACUAUGCAAAUCUAAGAGAUUAGACGUUCCCUUCGGGGACAUGGAUACAGGUGGUGCAUGGUUGUCGUCAGCUCGUGUCGUGAGAUGUUGGGUUAAGUCCCGCAACGAGCGCAACCCUUAUUAUCAGUUGCCAGCAUUAAGUUGGGCACUCUGGUGAGACUGCCGGUGACAAACCGGAGGAAGGUGGGGAUGACGUCAAAUCAUCAUGCCCCUUAUGACCUGGGCUACACACGUGCUACAAUGGAUGGUACAACGAGUUGCGAACUCGCGAGAGUAAGCUAAUCUCUUAAAGCCAUUCUCAGUUCGGAUUGUAGGCUGCAACUCGCCUACAUGAAGUCGGAAUCGCUAGUAAUCGCGGAUCAGCAUGCCGCGGUGAAUACGUUCCCGGGCCUUGUACACACCGCCCGUCACACCAUGAGAGUUUGUAACACCCAAAGUCGGUGG
rnacentral:rRNA from 2 species